rnacentral:tRNA from 1 species
UCCCUGGUGGCUCAGAUGGUAAAGAAUCUGCCUGCGAUGCAGGAGACCUGGGUUCGAUUCCUGGGUGGGGAA